rnacentral:rRNA from 1 species
UACUCCUACGGGAGGCAGCAGUGGGGAAUAUUGGACAAUGGGCGAAAGCCUGAUCCAGCCAUGCCGCGUGUGUGAAGAAGGUCUUCGGAUUGUAAAGCACUUUAAGUUGGGAGGAAGGGCAGUUACCUAAUACGUGAUUGUUUUGACGUUACCGACAGAAUAAGCACCGGCUAACUCUGUGCCAGCAGCCGCGGUAAUAC